rnacentral:rRNA from 1 species
GAUGAACGCUGGCGGCGUGCCUAAUACAUGCAAGUCGAGCGAACAGACGAGGAGCUUGCUCCUCUGACGUUAGCGGCGGACGGGUGAGUAACACGUGGAUAACCUACCUAUAAGACUGGGAUAACUUCGGGAAACCGGAGCUAAUACCGGAUAAUAUAUUGAACCGCAUGGUUCAAUAGUGGAAGACGGUUUUGCUGUCACUUAUAGAUGGAUCCGCGCCGCAUUAGCUAGUUGGUAAGGUAACGGCUUACCAAGGCAACGAUGCGUAGCCGACCUGAGAGGGUGAUCGGCCACACUGGAACUGAGACACGGUCCAGACUCCUACGGGAGGCAGCAGUAGGGAAUCUUCCGCAAUGGGCGAAAGCCUGACGGAGCAACGCCGCGUGAGUGAUGAAGGUCUUCGGAUCGUAAAACUCUGUUAUUAGGGAAGAACAAAUGUGUAAGUAACUAUGCACGUCUUGCCGGUACCUAAUCAGAAAGCCACGGCUAACUACGUG